ACCGCCUCCUCAUGGAAAAACAAAAAGUUCGCAACCGCCUCGGUGCCACUUCUCGCUCCUUUCCGGCCACGCCACGCCACGCAGACGCGAUCACAGCCUCCCCGCACCACCGAUACCUAGCGCCGCCUCGUCCCCCGCCGUCGACGCGCCUCCGCGAGACGGGACCCCGCCAUGCCGAUCUCAUCCUCUCUCUCCGCGCGCCUCGGCCCCGGUCCCGCUCCCGCGCCCGCACGGUGGGGCCCUUACGCCCGCCCCUCCGAACCCCGCAGGACCGGCGCCGGAAGCGGCUGCGCCAAGGCCUCCCGCCCGCCCCUCCGCCUCGAACCCGCGACGGAGAGACUCCUCGGGCCCGCGCGGAGGGCUGAAUCCCGCGGAUCGAGUCGCGGCGCCGCAGCCCCUACACCUGCACGACGGCGGCUUGGAGACCUGAAGAAGUCGGACCCGAAGACUGAUCCCAAGCCGGCGGGGACGAAUCCAGAGCCGAUCCAGGAGCCGCGCGUCGAGGAGAGCCGUGGCUGCGGCGGUUUCGCUUUCCUCUGCGCCCUCGCUGGACACGAGGAGGCUAUUACUGGAAUCUCUAUGCCGAUGGGGUCCGACAAGCUCUACUCUGGCAGUGCCGAUGGCUCUGUUCGCGUAUGGGAUGGCAACUCUGGCAAGUGCGUUGAUGUCAUCAAGAUGGGAGGGAAGAUUGGCUGUAUGAUCACACAUGACAAGUGGGUAUUUAUUGGAAUCCCAAAAUCCGUGGAGGCAUGGAACACACAGACAGGGAUGAAGCUAAGUCUUCAGGGACCUUCUGGGCUUGUUUGUUCCAUGACUAUCAAGGAUGAGAUGCUGUUUGCUGGCACGGCGGACGGACGCAUCAUGGCUUGGAAAUUUCCUGCUAAGGAGAUCAACUCGGAACCGGUGUCAAUCCUCGCUGGCCAUGACCGUCAUGUGAUUUCACUUGCUGUCUCCGCAACAAGGCUUUACUCUGGCUCACUUGACAAGACAAUCAGAGUAUGGGACCUUAAAAAUCUUCAGUGUGUCCAAACACUCUCUGAGCAUAAAGCUGCUGUUACUUCUGUGCUUUGUUGGGAUCAGAAGUUACUAUCUUGCUCUCUGGACAAGACUGUAAAUGUCUGGGCUGCUUCAGAAUCUGGAAACCUUCAACUCAUGCAUACCCAUUCCGAGGAGCAUUGGAUUGAGCAGCUUCUAUCUGUUCUCACUGAUCCCACAAUUCAACCUAGUCACAAUUACUUGUCUAAAAUCCAGUGGAAGAUCUUUGCAGCUACUUGAUAUGUGUUACUGGAUUAAGCAGCUUCUAUCUGUUCUCAAGUGAUCCCACAAUUCCACUGUAGUCGCAGUUUUAAUCAAAUGGAAGAUUUUUCUCAUAGUUAUUAUCGCUGGAUCAAUCUUCUGGUGUUAUUGCUGUCGGUGCAUGAAGGUCUCCAUUUCUGGAAGUUGUGACUCCAUCUGCAUUCGGUCAAGCAUUAUAGUUCGCACAGUAUGGCCUUUGUUACAUGCCUGGCACGUAGUAGGUGUUCUUCCUAGUAUGCUGGGAAUUUAUCUUGUGCUAUCGAGCAGGAGAUAAAGGGUUUGAGCCUAAUAGAAGCUCUCUUUCUUGGGAACUUUAGAUGGCUGCUAUCAGUCUGCUGAGCUCAUCUGUUUCCCUGAAGAGUUACGAUGGGAGUAUCAAAUAGACAUGUAUCAGCAACGUCAUCAGUCUGUUGAGCUAAUCUGUUUCCCUGACUGAAGAGUUAGUAUGGGAGUAUCAAAUAAAAGUGUAUCGGCAACGUCAGAAUGGUUAGGAACCUUCAUACAACAGUUACUAGAGGCAGCACCAGAGCAAUUCAUUCUUCGAAAGCCUGAAUAUCGCUGUUGAUAUUUUUAUAUAUUGUCCGGUUGUUGGCUUUCUCAAUAUUUCCCUUCCUGGAAGCAUGUUUCUCAGUGUACGUUUGUAAGCUCUGUUGAGAUGUAUCGCAUGAUGCUAGUGCCCUUGAUAGACUUUCUGCUUUGCUCUGGUUCUUGGGCAAUGGGAGUACGCACCCUCUUUGGCAUGCAUCGUCCGGGAAAGACGCCGGUUCUGCUCUGCUCCCUCCACAAGAGCAACUGCGUCCGCAUGUUGGGCCUGCCAUCGUUCGAGGAUAUUGGCACGCUCUCCUCCAAAACAGAAGUGAAGACCAUCGAACUCGCCCAGGGGCCAUCGAGGCUUCUCUUGACUGGAGAUGGCGCGGGCGAGCUGAAGGUGUGGACGUGGGCGCCCCAGGACGAGGAGUCCCCCAGCACCGGCGCUGCCAUAAACGUCAGCUAGACAUGCAUAGUCGAUCAUGGCAUCAUGCUCAUGCAUGCGCUGAGCUGAGCUAGCUCCACCGCUGUGAUGUCUGUAAAUUAUUAUGCCAUCCAAGUAAAAUAACAAGUCGUCAUUUCCCAAA